UCUAAAUGAAAGAGCUUCUACUUCUAGAACCUUUCAUGGUUAGUGAUGGUUUUUGUAAUGAGUGACUGAAAGAAGGAAACAGUGUAAGUUUCAAAUCAUAGGUACAAAUAGAAUGUCAACUUUCUUCUGCCUGUCAUAACUUACCAAGACAGAACAAAGUAAUCUCCUGAAGACUAUUGCCUUUGUAUUUUGAGUGUUUUUGAAACUCUUGCGCUACAUGCAGGACCAGGAAAAUUUCCAUUUAUGAACCUAUAAGAAAGUCUGCAAAUGGAGCUAUAAGCAUAUCACUGCAGCCAGUUCUUCUGGAGGCGACGCCUUUGAACGCAGAGUCUGAAAGGCAAGGACAAGAGACCAGGCGUUUUCAAUGUCAGAGAUAAUCUUUUAGUGCCUCUAAAGUACCCUUCCUUCCCAAAAGCCUCACAUUAGUCUCUGUAUACAUUGCUGCAACUCGAAUGCACUCUUCCUUCUAUGGAUAAAUGGA